rnacentral:tmRNA from 1 species
GGGGCCGACCUGGUUUCGACGUGAGUGCGGAAGCAGAGCGGGGCAUGCCGAGCACCAGUCCGCUCGUAAAACCACUGGAAAAAAAGUAAUUGCAAACGACGAACGUUUUGCACUCGCUGCUUAAUUGACUAGCGAGACUCACAACAGUUUGCCAAUGGGCUGGGGCCGCAAGGCCUGUGGGUUAAUACUACAUUGACUGGUUUGCCGUUGGGUUACUCAACAGCAAACGAGACUUAAGUAACUGGCGGCAAAGAGAGGGUGUGGGUGCCCGCUCCAGUCGCGAGAAUUAAAACAUUCCACUAAGCAUGUAGAACUGCCUGAAUAUGGCUUGCGGACGGGGGUUCAAUUCCCCCCGGCUCCACCA